GAGUGAAGUUGUUGUACGGGAACCACGCUGCUCGCCUUCUGCAUCUCCUCCCACUCGUCUAGCCCGUCCACCGUGUCCAGCAGGUCUUACUAGUUGUGGAGUUUUCAGGUUUUCAUAGAGACAAGAUAUAGGAUCGAAAAAAAGUAAAGAAUGAUGCACAGGAUGGAAUGGAAGGAAAGAGAAGAGUUCAAGGAAGGAAGGAAGGAAGUAUGUUGAGAAGUGACGAGCAGGAGAGAAGCAGACCCAGGAGGAGGCAAUGACAGAGAGCAAGCAGAGGAGGGCAAGGCUGUGAAGGGAACGGUUGAGCCUAGGGAGAGCAGUAUGGUAUCCAAUUGAUGCAGGGGAAACUCAGGAACCUUUCGAUUCCAGACCAGUUUCUUACGCGCGUGCCACUUUGUCUUCAUUGUAGCCAAGAAGUCCUGGACAGUCAUCUGGAUGCUGGUCCCACUAGGGCAAGGGAAGUUCAGAAGUGUAUGAAUCAGCAUCUACUGAAAAGAUACAGUCAGGUUACUGAAGAGAGAAGAUACAGACAUGUUAAUUGUUACUGUCACAAUCAUUGUGACAAUGAUGAAUAUGGAAUUUCUAAAAGCAACUGAAUAUUAUUAGUUUUUCUCCCUCUUGGGGUUCCUGACAAAUACAAAAGCAUAGCAUGCUUCCACCAAAUUACCACCACAACGACGUGUCCGAAAACAAACCUGUAAAAAUUAAAAUCCAUUAG
rnacentral:lncRNA from 1 species